rnacentral:ncRNA from 3 species
GCUAUGCCAACAUAUUGCCAUC